GACAGAGGGUGCAAACGUUGUUCGGAAUUACUGGGCGUAAAGCGCGUGUAGGCGGCUAUGUAAGUCGGGCGUGAAAUCCCACGGCUCAACCGUGGAAGUGCACCCGAAACUGCGUAGCUAGAGUCCUGGAGAGGAAGGUGGAAUGCUUGGUGUAGAGGUGAAAUUCGUAGAUAUCAAGCGGAACACCGGUGGCGAAGGCGGCCUCUGGACAGUGACUGACGCUGAGACGCGAAAGCGUGGGGAGCAAACAGGG
rnacentral:rRNA from 1 species